rnacentral:tRNA from 1 species
AAAGGGAGACCUAAUUCCAGUAGGAGACGAAAAAAAAGUAGUCCCUACCAAGAAUCAAUCCCAAAAGGUCGGAGCGAGGCAAAAUUGGCUUUCAAACUAGGUUCUGGGUUCACACAAGACCUGAAUCAGGAACAAGGGCUAUUAGCUCAGGUGGUUAGAGCGCACCCCUGAUAAGGGUGAGGUCCCUGGUUCGAGUCCAGGAUGGCCCACCUGCACAGGUGGAAGAAAGAAAAGAAGCUCCGAAUCAGCACCUUAUCUUACUUAUAUAGUAAGAGAGAAUGCUGGCUCUGAGUACAGAGUCCAGAGGAACCUUGGAAACUGCAUAGAGCUAGGUGAAAAAGCCAAAAAAGAAGACCGCAAG